GAUAGGUCACCGAGAAACCACCCAAAAUCAGUAGAAAAACUCUUAGAAUGUUCGGGUGAAGAAAAUAUACUCAAAUAUCAUGACGAAAAACUCGAAAAAGCAUCCGAUCUAGGUCAGAACCAUGAUCGACCAUAAGGUCUCAGAAAAAUCCCCAAAAAAAAUCUCAAAAAGAGAUCAACCAAGACAACGAGAUGUAGAGAAAC
rnacentral:lncRNA from 1 species